AACGAACGCUGGCGGCAUGCCUAACACAUGCAAGUCGAACGAGACCUUCGGGUCUUGUGGCGCCCGGGUGCGUCACGCGUGGGAACCUGCCCUUAGGUUCGGAAUAACUCCCCGACAGGGGUGCUAAUACCGGAUAAUGUCUUCGGACCAAAGAUUUAUCGCAUUUGGAUGGGCCCGCGUUGGAUUAGCUAGUUGGUAGGGUAAAAGCCUACCACGGCGACGAUCCAUAGCUGGUCUGAGAGAAUGAUCAGCCACACUGGGAGUGAGAAGCGGCCCAGACUCCUACGGGAGGCGGCAGAGGGGAAUAGUGGACAAUGGGCGAAAGGCUGAUCCAGCAAUGCCGGGUGAGUGAUGAAGGCCUGAGGGUUGUAAAGCUCUUUUACCCAGGAUGAUAAUGACAGUACCGGGAGAAUAAGCUCCGGCUAACUCCGUG
rnacentral:rRNA from 1 species